ACGGCUCAGUAACACGUGGAUAACCUGCCCAAGGGUCUGGGAUAACCCCGGGAAACUGGGGAUAAUACCGGAUAGAUCACCUAUGCUGGAAGGGCUUGGUGGUUUAAAGGUAACGCCUUUGGAUGGGUCUGCGGCGGAUUAGGUUGACGCCGGUGUAAUGUACCGGCGUGCCUGUAAUCCGUACGGGUUGUGGGAGCAAGAGCCCGGAGAUGGAUUCUGAGACACGAACCCAGGCCCUACGGGGCGCAGCAGGCGCGAAAACUCUACAAUGCAGGAGACUGCGAUAGGGGGACAUCGAGUGGCAUCCACCUUGGGUGCCUGUCCAACCGUCUAAAAAACGGUUGUUAGCAAGGGCCGGGUAAGACCGGUGCCAGCCGCCGCGGUAAUACCGGCGGCUCGAGUGGUGGCCGAUAUUAUUGAGUCUAAAGGGUCCGUAGCCGGCUUUGCAAGUCCCCUGGGAAAUCCAGCGGCUUAACCGUUGGGCUUUCAUGGGAUACUACAUUGCUUGGGACUGGGAGAGGUAGGAGGUACUCGGGGGGUAGGGGUGAAAUCCUGUAAUCCUCCGGGGACCACCGGUGGCGAAGGCGUCCUACCAGAACAGGUCCGACGGUGAGGGACGAAAGCUAGGGGCACGAACCGGAUUAGAUACCCGGGUAGUCCUAGCCGUAAACGAUGCCCGCUAGGUGUCACGACAGUCGUGAAUUGUCGUGGUGCCGUAGGGAAGCCGCGAAGCGGGCCACUUGGGAAGUACGACCGCAAGGUUGAAACUUAAGGGAAUUGGCGGGGGAGCAC
rnacentral:rRNA from 1 species